rnacentral:rRNA from 1 species
GCUCGUAGUUGGAUUUCGGGUGUGAACGACCGGUCCGUCUUUGAUGUGUACUGGUUGGUUGCGCCUUAUUGUCGAGGACGUGGUUCUGGCUUUCAUUAGCUGGGACACGGAGUCGGCAGCGUUACUUUGAGAAAAUUAGAGUGUUCAAAGCAGGCUAUCGCUCUGAAUACUACAGCAUGGAAUAACACGAUAGGACUCCGAGCCUAUUCUGUCGGUCUUCGGGACCGGAGUAAUGAUUAAGAGGGACAGUUGGGGGCAUUCGUAUUCCGAUGUCAGAGGUGAAAUUCUUGGAUUAUCGGAAGACGAACAUCUGCGAAAGCAUUUGCCAAGGAUGUUUUCAUUAAUCAAGAACGAAAGUUGGGGGCUCGAAGAAGAUCAGAUACCUUCCUAGUCUCAACCAUAAACGAUGCCGACUAGGGAUUGGCGGAUGUUUUUUAUGAC